GAUCCUGGCUCAGGAUGAACGCUAGCGGCAGGCCUAAUACAUGCAAGUCGAGGGGCAGCGCGGUAGCAAUACUGGCGGCGACCGGCGCACGGGUGCGUAACACGUAUGCAACCUACCUUCAACUGGAGGAUAGUCCGGGGAAACUCGGAUUAAUACUCCAUAACACAGGGAUCCCGCAUGGGAAUAUUGUUAAAGCUACGGCGGUUGAAGAUGGGCAUGCGUUCGAUUAGCUAGUUGGUGUAGGUAACGGCUCACCAAGGCUACGAUCGAUAGGGGGUCUGAGAGGAUGAUCCCCCACACUGGUACUGAGAUACGGACCAGACUCCUACGGGUAGGCAGCAGUAGGGAAUAUUGGUCAAUGGGCGCAAGCCUGAACCAGCCAUGCCGCGUGCAGGAAGAAGGCCCUCUGGGUUGUAAACUGCUUUUGAUAGGGAACAAAUGCCACUUACGAGUGGAGCUGAGUGUACCUAUAGAAUAAGCACCGGCUAACUCCGUG
rnacentral:rRNA from 1 species